GGAUCCAGACUUUGAUUAUGGCUCAGGACGAACGCUGGCGGCGUGCUUAACACAUGCAAGUCGAACGAUGAAGCUGGGGCUUGCUCUGGUGGAUUAGUGGCGAACGGGUGAGUAACACGUGAGUAACCUGCCCCAGACUCUGGGAUAAGCACUGGAAACGGUGUCUAAUACCGGAUACGAACUUCCGCCGCAUGGUGAGGAGUUGGAAAGAAUUUUGGUCUGGGAUGGACUCGCGGCCUAUCAGCUAGUUGGUGAGGUAAUGGCUCACCAAGGCGACGACGGGUAGCCGGCCUGAGAGGGUGACCGGCCACACUGGGACUGAGACACGGCCCAGACUCCUACGGGAGGCAGCAGUGGGGAAUAUUGCACAAUGGGCGAAAGCCUGAUGCAGCAACGCCGCGUGAGGGACGAAGGCCUUCGGGUUGUAAACCUCUUUUAGUAGGGAAGAAGCGAAAGUGACGGUACCUGCAGAAAAAGCACCGGCUAACUACGUGCCAGCAGCCGCGGUAAUACGUAGGGUGCAAGCGUUGUCCGGAAUUAUUGGGCGUAAAGAGCUCGUAGGCGGUUUGUCGCGUCUGCUGUGAAAACCCGAGGCUCAACCUCGGGCCUGCAGUGGGUACGGGCAGACUAGAGUGCGGUAGGGGAGAUUGGAAUUCCUGGUGUAGCGGUGGAAUGCGCAGAUAUCAGGAGGAACACCAAUGGCGAAGGCAGAUCUCUGGGCCGUAACUGACGCUGAGGAGCGAAAGCAUGGGGAGCGAACAGGAUUAGAUACCCUGGUAGUCCAUGCCGUAAACGUUGGGAACUAGAUGUAGGGGCCAUUCCACGGCUUCUGUGUCGCAGCUAACGCACUAAGUUCCCCGCCUGGGGAGUACGGCCGCAAGGCUAAAACUCAAAGGAAUUGACGGGGGCCCGCACAAGCGGCGGAGCAUGCGGAUUAAUUCGAUGCAACGCGAAGAACCUUACCAAGGCUUGACAUAUACCGGAAAAGUUCAGAAAUGUUCUCCCCGCAAGGUCGGUAUACAGGUGGUGCAUGGUUGUCGUCAGCUCGUGUCGUGAGAUGUUGGGUUAAGUCCCGCAACGAGCGCAACCC
rnacentral:rRNA from 1 species